rnacentral:rRNA from 1 species
GCGCAGCAGUCGAGAAUCUUCGGCAAUGGACGCAAGUCUGACCGAGCGACGCCGCGUGCGGGAUGAAGGCCCUUGGGUUGUAAACCGCUGUCAGAGGGGAUGAAAUGCGAGAGGGCUAUCCCUCUCGUUUGACAGAGCCUCAGAGGAAGCACGGGCUAAGUACGUGCCAGCAGCCGCGGUAACACGUACUGUGCGAACGUUAUUCGGAAUCACUGGGCUUAAAGGGUGCGUAGGCGGUUUAGUAAGUAGGGUGUGAAAUGCCAGAGCUCAACUUUGGCACGGCGCUCUAAACUGCUAAACUUGAGUGAGAUAGGGGUGUACGGAACUUCCGGUGGAGCGGUGAAAUGCGUUGAUAUCGGAAGGAACACCGGUGGCGAAAGCGGUACACUGGGUCUUAACUGACGCUGAGGCACGAAAGCCAGGGUAGCGAACGGGAUUAGAUAUCCCUGUAGU